rnacentral:RNase_P_RNA from 1 species
AUAUUAUAUUAUUAAUAGGAAAGUCAUAAAUAUAUAAAUUAUAUUGUAUAAUUAUAUAUAUUAUUCAUUAUAUAUAUUAUUAAUUGUUUAAUAAUAUAAAAAAUAUAACAGGAUAAUUAUUAUUAUUAUAUACAAUAUUAAUAAAGUAAUUAGUAUAAAUAAAUAAAAUGAAAAUAAAACUUAAUAAAUAUAUUAUUAUAUAUUUUUAAUCACUUUAUAAUUAUUAUUAAUAGAUUAUUAGAAAUAUUAUACUUUAUAUCUUUAUAAAAAUUAAGAUAUAUUUUAUAAUAUAUUAAUCUUAUUUAUAGUCGGGUCCGCCCCGCGGGCCGGACGCCGAAGGAGUGAGGGACCCGCCCUCCCAAGGGCGGGACCGAACCCCUCGUUAUAUAUAAAAGAUAUAUAAAAGUUAUAUUAUUAUACAGAAAUAUGCUUAAUUAUAAUAUAAUAUCC